UGAUUCGGGCUCCGGCCCGAUCCUCCCACCCUUUGUGUACCCACCUCUGUUGCUUUGGCGGGCCGCGGUCCUCCGCGGCCGCCCUCCGUCCGGGGGGUGGCCAGCGCCCGCCAGAGGACCAUCAAACUCCGGUCAGUGAACGUUGCCGUCUGAAAAACAAUCAAUAAACUAAAACUUUCAACAACGGAUCUCUUGGUUCUGGCAUCGAUGAAGAACGCAGCGAAAUGCGAUAAGUAAUGUGAAUUGCAGAAUUCAGUGAAUCAUCGAAUCUUUGAACGCACAUUGCGCCCCUCGGUAUUCCGAGGGGCAUGCCUGUUCGAGCGUCAUUACAACCCUCAAGCUCUGCUUGGUGUUGGGCACCGCCCUUCCGCGGGCGCGCCUCAAAGACCUCGGCGGUGGCGUCUUGCCUCGAGCGUAGUAGAAAACACCUCGCUUUGGAGCGCACGGCGCCGCCCGCCGGACGAACCUUUUGAACUUUCUCAAGGUUGACCUCGGAUCAG
rnacentral:rRNA from 1 species